rnacentral:rRNA from 1 species
AUUGAACGCUGGCGGCAUGCCUUACACAUGCAAGUCGAACGGUAACAGGUUAAGCUGACGAGUGGCGAACGGGUGAGUAAUGUAUCGGAACGUGCCCAGUCGUGGGGGAUAACUGCUCGAAAGAGCAGCUAAUACCGCAUACGACCUGAGGGUGAAAGCGGGGGAUCGCAAGACCUCGCGCGAUUGGAGCGGCCGAUAUCAGAUUAGGUAGUUGGUGAGGUAAAGGCUCACCAAGCCGACGAUCUGUAGCUGGUCUGAGAGGACGACCAGCCACACGGGGACUGAGACACGGCCCAGACUCCUACGGGAGGCAGCAGUGGGGAAUUUUGGACAAUGGGCGCAAGCCUGAUCCAGCCAUGCCGCGUGCGGGAAGAAGGCCUUCGGGUUGUAAACCGCUUUUGUCAGGGAAGAAAAGGUUCUGGCUAAUACCUGGGACUCAUGACGGUACCUGAAGAAUAAGCACCGGCUAACUACGUGCCAGCAGCCGCCGUAAUAC